CUUCAUAUCCCUUUCUUUUACCUGAUACUUUGUCCUUUGUUCAUUGGCUUCUGGCAGUAGGUUUCAUCACACUAGUACGUGGUUCUAAGGAUGUGAUUUGUAAGGAGACUUGGGGAACAAAUGAUCAACAUAAGUUCGCAACAGGAUAAUCAUUGUUGAAGGGAAUCAGACAUCCAUAUGGAUCAAGACGGCUGUCAUUUUUGCGUGGCAGAGCAAGCUUUUGAGAGAAGGCUGCUGCCAGAUCGUUCUGCCCUAUGUCGAUAGCAUACAACGCAUUCUGGAAUCCCUCUCCAUCAGUGAGGCCCUUUGCACCUGUGACAUUCACCGAUGGCUAAUGAGUACACGCAUCGUCACACAGUUGG